GUCAGCGCUCCGCCCGCUGCCCCGGCCGGCCCCGAGUCGGGACGGGCACCCCGGGGACGGGCGUCGCUGACCUGGCUGUAGCUUGGCGGGGUGCAGCUCGCCGGCGGUCCCGGAGCGGAGAUGCGCCAGCGAGAAGUCGCUGGCUGAGAUGCCUCCCCGAGUUCCAGAGAUAAGAUAAAUAAUUUACUGGAUGGAGAUCUCUGAUUACUCACUCUAUUAGCAUUUGGAGCAAAGAGCUCCAGCCACUGGGAGCUGAAUUAUUCCAGACAAAGCCCAUCUGGGUUCCUGCUCCUAAGCAAGUUCCUGGCAUCCCACACAUACUUGUGGCAUGAAUUGCAUGAAAUCGAAUGGGGUUUACUGGAAAUGCUUGUGAGAUCCUGUCCCGUUUAGUGUUAAAAAAAAAGGAUUAAAUAGAACCAAGAUGCACCCCCAAAAUGGGGUUUGGAGCUGCGGCCCAGCCCUCGCACUGGCCGGGAAGGACUCACCACCACCACUGCCGCUUUUAGAUUUACCCAGAAUGUGACACAUCCUCUUUUAGGACCUGAGCCAAACAAAAACUGGAAAAUCUACCUUCUGUUUUACCCAGAAAGUGACAUUUUUGUCUAGGGAAAUGUGUGGAGAAUCUGAUGCAGUGCUUCCAUUCCUCUUUGUUUAAAAUAUACAAUUGUUGAAAAUAUUUUUUAAUAUAUUGUUGUUGCAAUGCGAGGUGAUGCAAGCUGAGAGUGGGGCAGAGGGGCAGGCAGCGCCUUUCUCCUGCCUUAUUCCCACCCGACGCCAGGGCACAUUUGGGACAACUGGUUCUGCCAGUCGCUGCUCAGCCGUGGGAUGAGGUGACUUAGCAUUUGGCCCCGAACUCAUUAUCAAAUUCUUUGCCAGGAUGAUGAAAGGCAUCGAAGGAGCUGCCCUGGAAACCUGUUGACAAACAGAGCUUGCCCGGAGCGGCCGGGCUUUCCCGGGGCUGCCCAUCCCUGACUCCUCGGGAGAAGCAGCUCUGCCCAAACCUGCUCAUUAGCGUCGGAGGGAGCAGCGUGUCUUGCAGCCGGGAUGAGCUGGGGCCCAAAUCAUCCUGGUCUGCCCGCGGCUCCCGCGGCUCGGGCUCGGUCGCCCGUGGAACCGGCUGGCCCAGGGCGUGGGGCGAAGCGUGGCACCGACCUGCGGGUCCCCGGGGGAAGCCCGAACCCUUCCUCAUCUCUUCCCGAUGCUCUGACGGCCACCCGGCCCUGAUAGAACGUGGGAAAAGGGGAUUUGAGGCUCUCAGCGAUGCCCACUCCCCCACGAGGAGGGCACCGAGCCCUUUGCCCGCCCAGGGCUUCUCCCAGCCUGGCAGUGGGAGCCCGGAGUGGAGUCGGGGAUUGAGGAUGCUCCCACCUGCAGGCAGUGAGCAAUCCCUGGUGGCACCGGCCGGGGAGCGGGCACUGCCCUCGCCCAGCAGUGUGUGCCACCGCUGGGACACCCCCAGUGUGUGCGGGGUGCUCAAAGUCACCCUACAGCCACAGGAAGGUGCUCUGGGGUCUCACAUGUGGCAAUGCAAUAAAAUAAUAAAACGUG